GACGAACGCUGGCGGCGUGCCUAAUACAUGCAAGUUGAGCGCUGAAGGUUGGUACUUGUGCCAACUGGAUGAGCAGCGAACGGGUGAGUAACGCGUGGGAAAUCUGCCUUUGAGCGGGGGACAACAUUUGGAAACGAAUGCUAAUACCGCAUAAAAACUUUAAACACAAGUUUUAAGUUUGAAAGAUGCAAUUGCAUCACUCAAAGAUGAUCCCGCGUUGUAUUAGCUAGUUGGUGAGGUAAAGGCUCACCAAGGCGAUGAUACAUAGCCGACCUGAGAGGGUGAUCGGCCACAUUGGAACUGAGCCACGGCCCAAACUCCUACGGGAGGCAGCAGUAGGGAAUCUUCGGCAAUGGACGAAAGUCUGACCGAGCAACGCCGCGUGAGUGAAGAAGGUGUUCGGAUCGUAAAACUCUGUUGGUAGAGAAGAACGUUGGUGAGAGUGGAAAGCUCAUCAAGUGACGGUAACGACCCAGAAAGGGACGGCUAACUACGU
rnacentral:rRNA from 1 species